CGCUGAGUUUGAUCCUGGCUCAGAGCGAACGCUGGCGGCAGGCUUAACACAUGCAAGUCGAGCGGGCGUAGCAAUACGUCAGCGGCAGACGGGUGAGUAACGCGUGGGAACAUACCUUUUGGUUCGGAACAACACAGGGAAACUUGUGCUAAUACCGGAUAAGCCCUUACGGGGAAAGAUUUAUCGCCGAAAGAUUGGCCCGCGUCUGAUUAGCUAGUUGGUGAGGUAAUGGCUCACCAAGGCGACGAUCAGUAGCUGGUCUGAGAGGAUGAUCAGCCACAUUGGGACUGAGACACGGCCCAAACUCCGUACGGGGAGGCAGCAGUGGGGAAUAUGCACAAUGGACGCAAGUCUGAUCCAGCCAUUCCGCGUG
rnacentral:rRNA from 1 species